rnacentral:rRNA from 1 species
UACGUAGGCAGCGAGCGUUGUUCGGAAUUACUGGGCGUAAAGCGCGCGUAGGCGGCUUUGCAAGUCGGGUGUGAAAUCCCCAGGCCUAACCUGGGAACUGCAUUCGAGACUGCAUGGCUAGAGUAUCGGAGAGGGAAGUGGAACUUCAGGUGUAGCGGUGAAAUGCGUAGAUAUCUGAAGGAACAUCAGUGGCGAAAGCGACUUCCUGGACGAAUACUGACGCUCAUGUGCGAAAGCGUGGGGAGCAAACAGG